UACAUGGGGUGCAACCGUUGCUCGGAAUUAUUGGGCGUAAAGCGCGCGUAGGCGGUUACUCAAGUCGGAUGUGAAAGCCCUCGGCUUAACUGAGGAAGUGCAUCCGAAACUGAGUAGCUAGAGUACUAAAGAGGGUCGCGGAAUUCCCGGUGUAGAGGUGAAAUUCGUAGAUAUCGGGAGGAACACCGGUGGCGAAGGCGGGUCUCUGGGCCGAUAUUGACGCUGAGGAGCGAAAGCGUGGGGAGCGAACAGG
rnacentral:rRNA from 1 species